rnacentral:rRNA from 1 species
GUGCACCAGGCGCGAAAACUUCACACUGUGCGAAAGCACGAUGAGGGAAUCCCAAGUGCUUGCACGUAAGUGUAAGCUGUUUCUCUGUCUAAAACGCAGAGAGAGUAAGGGCUGGGUAAGACGGGUGCCAGCCGCCGCGGUAAUACCUGCAGCUCAAGUGGUGACCGUUAUUAUUGGGCCUAAAACGUCCGUAGCCGGUUUAAUAAAUGCCUGGGUAAAUUGUGUAGCUUAACUAUACGAAUUCCGGGUAGACUGUUAAACUUGAGACCGGGAGAAGUUAGAGGUACUCCGUGGGGUAGAGGUGAAAUUCUGUAAUCCUAGGGGGACCACCAGUGGCGAAGGCGUCUAACUAGAACGGGUCUGGACGGUGAGGGACGAAGCCCCUGGGGCGCAAACGGGGAUUAGACUACCCCCGUAGU